ensembl:lncRNA
CUGCUAUCAAGAAGUCAGCCAAUAAUAAAUGCUGGCGGGGUUGUGGGUAGAAAGGAACCCUUCUCCACUGUUGGUGGGAGUGCAGACUGGUGCAACCACUGUGGAAAUCAGUAUGGAGAUUCCUCAAAAAACUAAAACUAGAGGUUUCAUUCAACACAGCUACUUCCCUUCCUGCUAUCUUCCCAAAAGAAUUAAAAGCAACAUACUAUAGUGAUAUAUGCACACCCAUAUUUAUAGCGGCACAGUUUGUAAUACUUCGUUAAAUCUUGGAAAGAGCCCAAGUGCCCAUCACCAAUGAAUGGAUAAAGAAAAUGUGGGGGUUUUUUUACACAAUGGAGUACUACUCUGCCAUAGAGAAGGAUAAACAUGGGACAUUUCUAGCUAAAUGGAUGCACCUUGAGACCAUACUUUUUUGUUUGUUUGGGGGGUUUUGUUGUUGUUUUCUUUUUUCUUUGGUACUGGGGAGCGAACUCAGGACCUUGGGCUUGUGAGGCAGGUGGGGUGGUUUGGGCUGGCCUCAAACUCAUGGUGAGCCUCCUGCCUCACCCUCCCAAGAGCUGGGAUUGCCAGUGUGUGCCCCCAAGCCCAGUGAGACCAUACUCUUAAGUGAAAUUAACCAGACACACAUGUUCAAAUAUCACAUUGUUUCCCUAAUGUGAGCAACCAAAAGUGUAGAAAAAGAACCAAAAUGUAUAAUAGACAUUGGGAAAUGGGAAGAAAAAUGUUCAGAUGAGAAGGGGAACAAAGGAGGGGGAAGGGGAAAGGAAGGAAGGGAAAAGAAAAAUAGGAUAGAAGGAAAAAAUGGAAAUGAAGCUUUUGUAAAUGAGAAGAGGAACUGAAGGGAGGGGAGGGAUUAGAGAAAAAAGAAGACUCAAGUUAUAUCAUGUACACUCCCUACUAUGAGUAUGAUCACCAUGUAUAUCUAAAAUGUGCCAAUAAAAUUAAUUUUUUUUAAAAAAGACGAAGAGCCCCAGGAAUGAGUUGGGAGGUCACAGAGCACAUGGCCACCUCAGCACUGCCGCUGCCUGUUGCCUGAGCACCUGCUUCAUAAUCUGCCCAGGCCUUGGGGCGUUUCCCGUGAGCUCCCGGGGGUCGGUGCCGGUGCCGCACAUUCCAGACUGGAAAAAGCUAAGCAGACCCGUGGGAAUGAACUUUACCCAGGCCUCCUCGUGCGUGCCCCACCAAGGUCCUGCCCCUGAGCUCCAUCCCCAGCCCUAGCAGGGACUUUCAUUCAAUGAUAACUACAGAACAUUCCAGCUAACGGAGGUCAUGAUUCCGAAUUCAAAGCCAAGGGCAACUAUAUGCUGUCUACGUGAGACCCAGAUACAUUCCAGCCUUACAAAAAUGUUGAAAACUUUUAGAAUGGAGAAAACAUGUACCAUGUGAACACAAUAAGAAGGGUCUCCCUAUGUAGCCUAUGUUGGCCUCGAGCUUGCAGUGAUCCUCCUGCAUCAGGCCCAAGUGCUGGGAUUACAGGUGUGCGCCAGCAUGCCCAACAAGACAUCUUCAUGAUCCUGUCAAGCCCGAUUCCCAGGGUAGAUUUAAUAGUGUAAAACUAUAUAGCCAUAAAAUUUAGAAAAGAAAAAAAUGACACCAUUAUCAGGGUAAAUAGACAAACACAG